UACGUAGGUGGCAAGCGUUGUCCGGAAUUAUUGGGCGUAAAGCGCGCGUAGGCGGUUACUUAAGUCGGAUGUGAAAGCCCUCGGCUUAACUGAGGAAGUGCACCCGAAACUGAGUAGCUAGAGUACGAAAGAGGGUCGCGGAAUUCCCGGUGUAGAGGUGAAAUUCGUAGAUAUCGGGAGGAACACCGGUGGCGAAGGCGGCGACCUGGGUCGAGACUGACGCUGAGGCGCGAAAGCGUGGGGAGCAAACAGG
rnacentral:rRNA from 1 species